rnacentral:lncRNA from 1 species
ACCAUAACAAAACAACUAUAGCAAGAUUCGUUGCUAUUGACAACAAAUACAUUUUCCACAAAUGGCCAAAACAAAUCAGGAUUCCAUCUGUAGCUUAGCUUUUUCUGAGUCACAAUAUAAAAGAUUGUCUAUUUUGCACCUGCUUCAAUUCAGAUCGGAAUCUGUUAAAAGA